rnacentral:pre_miRNA from 1 species
GGGGGGAGCGUCGGAUCUUGGGCUGUGUCCCUCAUUGCCCUGGGCUCCAGGGCCUGCACCUGGAAUCGUGCUCCCGGGCCUCAGAGCCCUCU